UACAGGCGUCCAAGCGUUGUUCGGAAUCACUGGGCUUAAAGGGCGCGUAGGCGGGCUGCCAAGUCCGUAGGUGAAAUCCCCCGGCUCAACCGGGGAACGGCCUCGGAUACUGGCGGCCUGGAGGGGGGUAGGGGCGUGCGGAACUGUGGGUGGAGCGGUGAAAUGCGUUGAGAUCCACAGGAACUCCGGUGGCGAAGGCGGCACGCUGGACCCUUUCUGACGCUGAGGCGCGAAAGCCAGGGGAGCGAACGGG
rnacentral:rRNA from 1 species